GGCAGAGGUUUUAACCCACUGAGCCACCCAGGUGCCCGCAGAAUUCUGUUCCCUAAAAUGCCAAAACGACAGGGAGAUUUUUUGCAUUUUUUAAAAUGUGAAGAAGGUGAAAACAGACAAGGAAAUAAUAAUAGCAAAAAUCAUUGUGGAUUGUCUAAGUCGAAGGAAUCAGAUUUCAAAUAUGUUGAACAACCAAUCAUUGAGGAAAAUCCAUCAUAUUCAUCAAAGGAAGAAACAAAUAAUCUUGUGCUUCCAUAUUGUUGGAAUGAAAAACAAGCAUUUUUGUUUACAGAACAGUACAAAUGGCUUGAAAUUAAAAGAAGGUAAAUUAGGAUAUAAGGAUUGUUCAGUAGUUUGGCAUUUGGGAUCAAAAGCAGAAAAGCAUGUCCAUGUGUCUAAGGAAUAGAUUGCAUAUUGAGUAACCCCUACUCGCAGUAAUAAAACUACUAGACAGGCUUCUCUGCGGAAAAAAAUUAGGGAACACGAUGUUUCUAAAGCCCAUGGUAAAAUUCAGGAUUUGUUAAAGGAAUCAAUUAAUGACUCAAAUUCUGAUUUAGUGCAUAAACAAAAUAAUAAAAAUACUGAUGCUACUGUAAAAGUUUUCAAUACUGUUUACAGUUUAGUAAAACACAAUAGACCUUUAUCUGAUAUUGAGGGGGCAAUAGAAUUACAAGAGAAAAAUGGAGAGGUCAGCUGUUCAUAAAUACAUGAUAUAGUGCAACAAGAAUAGCAGAACAUAUUGGAAAAGAAAUGAAAAUGAAGAUAUUUAAGAAUAUUAUAGAAGAGAAUGCCAAAAUCUGCAUCAUAAUUGAUGAGGCAUCUACAGUUUCGAAGAAAAGCACUCUAGUGGUUUAUCUCCAGUGCACAGUUCAGUUGGCUCCCACACUAGUUAUGUUAUUUGUUGCUUAAAAAGAAUUGGUGUCAUCUGCAGCAGCGUGUAUUUUCAGUACAAUAUUGAGUUCUUUAAAUGAUCGUGGGUUUACUAAUGAAAAUUUGAAAGCAAAUUUAGUUGCAUUUUGUUCUGAUAGUGCUAAUACAAUUCUGGGAAGAAAGUCUGAAGUAGCUACAAAAUUGUUGGAAAACUUUCCUAAAUUCAUUAAAAGAAUUGUUUAAACUAUCGAUUUCAUUGUCAAUUGAUGAUACAAUAUCUGAAAUAAAACAACUAUCAUUUUAAACUAC